AUCCUGGCUCAGGAAGGACGCUGGCGGCGUGUUUACCCAUUCCAAGUGGACGGUUAAAGCCCAAGUUUGUGGGUGGAUCAAGUGCGGACGGGUGAAGUACCCGGUGACCACCUGCCCCGGGCUUUGGGAAUAGCGGUGGGAACGGCGUUUUAUUCUGGAUUUGAACCGCGGCCGCCUGGUCCGGUGUUUGGAAGAUUUUUUGGUCUGGGAUGGGCUCGCGGCCUAUCAGCUAGUUGGUGAGGUAACGGCUCACCAAGGCGUCGACGGGUAGCCGGCCUGAGAGGGUGACCGGCCACACUGGGACUGAGACACGGCCCAGACUCCUACGGGAGGCAGCAGUGGGGAAUAUUGCACAAUGGGCGCAAGCCUGAUGCAGCAACGCCGCGUGAGGGAUGACGGCCUUCGGGUUGUAAACCUCUUUUAGCAAGGAAGAAGCGAAAGUGACGGUACUUGCAGAAAAAGCGCCGGCUAACUACGUGCCAGCAGCCGCGGUAAUACGUAGGGCGCAAGCGUUAUCCGGAAUUAUUGGGCGUAAAGAGCUCGUAGGCGGUCUGUCGCGUCUGCUGUGAAAACCCGAGGCUCAACCUCGGGCCUGCAGUGGGUACGGGCAGACUAGAGUGCGGUAGGGGAGAUUGGAAUUCCUGGUGUAGCGGUGGAAUGCGCAGAUAUCAGGAGGAACACCGAUGGCGAAGGCAGAUCUCUGGGCCGUAACUGACGCUGAGGAGCGAAAGGGUGGGGAGCAAACAGGCUUAGAUACCCUGGUAGUCCACCCCGUAAACGUUGGGAACUAGUUGUGGGGUCCAUUCCACGGAUUCCGUGACGCAGCUAACGCAUUAAGUCCCCG
rnacentral:rRNA from 1 species